rnacentral:rRNA from 1 species
AGCCUGAAGGAUUAAGUAUUUUAGGUAAGACCUGCCCGAUGCCAAAAUUGGUGAAUGGCCGCAGUACCCUGACUGUGCUAAGGUAGCGUAAUCAGUUGGCUUUUAAAUGGAGUCGUGUAUGAAUGGAUUUUUGGGGUUAAGCUGUCUCUACUAAAUUUAGUUGAAUUUGGUUAGGAGGUGAAAAUACCUUCAAUUAGAUAAAGGACGAUAAGACCCUUGGAGUUUUUACUAAUAAAAUCUUUAAUUUUUGUUGUUUUUGCUGGGGCGGCAUAGAGAUAAUAAUUGUAACUCUCUUAUAGAAUAAGCCGAAAGUUUUAAGUACAGAUAAACUACCCGAGGGAUAACAGCAUUAUUCUUUACAGAGUUUGUGACCUCGAUGUUGGACUAGGAAUUAAUUAGGCUAGCCGCUUAAAUAUAUUGUUCUGUUCGAACUAAUUUUCCU